rnacentral:rRNA from 1 species
UACGAAGGGGGCUAGCGUUGUUCGGAAUUACUGGGCGUAAAGGGCGCGUAGGCUGUGCUGUAAGUCAGGCGUGAAAGCCCCGGGCUCAACCUGGGAAUUGCGCUUGAUACUGCGGCGCUGGAAGGUGGGAGAGGAUGGCGGAAUUCCCAGUGUAGAGGUGAAAUUCGUAGAUAUUGGGAAGAACACCGGUGGCGAAGGCGGCGCACUGGCUCGUAACUGACGCUCAUGCACGACAGCGUGGGGAUCAAACAGG